CAGGCUUAACACAUGCAAGUCGAGGGGCAGCAUGGUCUUAGCUUGCUAAGACUGAUGGCGACCGGCGCACGGGUGAGUAACACGUAUCCAACCUGCCGUCUACUCUUGGACAGCCUUCUGAAAGGAAGAUUAAUACAAGAUGGCAUCAUGAGUCCGCAUGUUCACAUGAUUAAAGGUAUUCCGGUAGACGAUGGGGAUGCGUUCCAUUAGAUAGUAGGCGGGGUAACGGCCCACCUAGUCUUCGAUGGAUAGGGGUUCUGAGAGGAAGGUCCCCCACAUUGGAACUGAGACACGGUCCAAACUCCUACGGGAGGCAGCAGUGAGGAAUAUUGGUCAAUGGGCGAGAGCCUGAACCAGCCAAGUAGCGUGAAGGAUGACUGCCCUAUGGGUUGUAAACUUCUUUUAUAAAGGAAUAAAGUCGGGUAUGCAUACCCGUUUGCAUGUACUUUAUGAAUAAGGAUCGGCUAACUCCGUGCCAGCAGCCGCGGUAAUACGGAGGAUCCGAGCGUUAUCCGGAUUUAUUGGGUUUAAAGGGAGCGUAGAUGGAUGUUUAAGUCAGUUGUGAAAGUUUGCGGCUCAACCGUAAAAUUGCAGUUGAUACUGGAUAUCUUGAGUGCAGUUGAGGCAGGCGGAAUUCGUGGUGUAGCGGUGAAAUGCUUAGAUAUCACGAAGAACUCCGAUUGCGAAGGCAGCCUGCUAAGCUGCAACUGACAUUGAGGCUCGAAAGUGUGGGUAUCAAACAGGAUUAGAUACCCUGGUAGUCCACACGGUAAACGAUGAAUACUCGCUGUUUGCGAUAUACUGCAAGCGGCCAAGCGAAAGCGUUAAGUAUUCCACCUGGGGAGUACGCCGGCAACGGUGAAACUCAAAGGAAUUGACGGGGGCCCGCACAAGCGGAGGAACAUGUGGUUUAAUUCGAUGAUACGCGAGGAACCUUACCCGGGCUUAAAUUGCAGAUGAAUUACGGUGAAAGCCGUAAGCCGCAAGGCAUCUGUGAAGGUGCUGCAUGGUUGUCGUCAGCUCGUGCCGUGAGGUGUCGGCUUAAGUGCCAUAACGAGCGCAACCCUUGUUGUCAGUUACUAACAGGUUCCGCUGAGGACUCUGACAAGACUGCCAUCGUAAGAUGUGAGGAAGGUGGGGAUGACGUCAAAUCAGCACGGCCCUUACGUCCGGGGCUACACACGUGUUACAAUGGGGGGUACAGAGGGCCGCUACCACGCGAGUGGAUGCCAAUCCCCAAAACCUCUCUCAGUUCGGACUGGAGUCUGCAACCCGACUCCACGAAGCUGGAUUCGCUAGUAAUCGCGCAUCAGCCACGGCGCGGUGAAUACGUUCCCGGGCCUUGUACACACCGCCCGUCAAGCCAUGGGAGCCGGGGGUACCUGAAGUGCGUAACCGCGAGGAGCGCCCUAGGGUAAAACUGGUGACUGG
rnacentral:rRNA from 1 species